rnacentral:rRNA from 1 species
UACGUAGGGUGCGAGCGUUUGUCCGGAAUUAUUGGGCGUAAAGAGCUCGUAGGCGGUCUGUCACGUCGGAUGUGAAAGCCCGGGGCUUAACCCCGGGUCUGCAUUCGAUACGGGCAGACUAGAGUGUGGUAGGGGAGAUCGGAAUUCCUGGUGUAGCGGUGAAAUGCGCAGAUAUCAGGAGGAACACCGGUGGCGAAGGCGGAUCUCUGGGCAGUAACUGACGCUGAGGAGCGAAAGCGUGGGGAGCGAACAGG